GGAUGUGAGGGCGAUCUGGCUGCGACAUCUGUCACCCCAUUGAUUGCCAGGGUUGAUUCGGCUGAUCUGGCUGGCUAGGCAGGUAUCCCCUUCCUCCCUCAACGAUCCAUGUGCAUCCCUCCCUAAGCUGCACGCUCGGUCGAAGAAGACGACUACCCCCGAUAGAGGAGGACCGUUCCUCGGUCAAGGGUAUAUGAAUAGCUGUGCUCCCUUGCUAGAACCUCCAAACAAGCUCUCAAGAUAUCAUAUACAUACAUUCCAAAACUCUGAUUUUUCCCUUAGUAGCUCACUUCUAAACAUGUAAGAAGCAGAG
rnacentral:snRNA from 1 species